ACAUGCGGAAGGAUCAUUACAGAGUGAGGCGAAAGCCUAAACUCCCACCCUUUUUGUACCUGUUGCUUUGGCAGAUGCAAGUCUGCCAGGCUUUAAACUCUUGUGUUUUAUUGUCUGAGUGUGGCUUUGAAUAUUAAAACUUUCAACAAUGGAUCUCUUGGCUCUGGCAUCGAUGAAGAACGCAGCGAAAAGCGAUAUGUAAUGUGAAUUGCAGAAUUUAGUGAAUCAUCGAAUCUUUGAACGCACAUUGCGCCCUGUAGCAUUCUACAGGGCAUGCCUGUUCGAGUGUCAUUUCACCCUCAAGCAUAGCUUGGUCUUGAAUCUAGUCGUACGACUGAUUUUAAAAAUAGUAGUGGCUUCGUAGGUGCUAAACGUAGUAACUUUCGUUCCAGCGCCUCAUCUUAGCUGCGAAAUGGACUUUUGUAGUUGACCUCGAAUCAGGUUAGGGAUACCCGCUGAACUUAAGCAUACA
rnacentral:rRNA from 1 species